GAUGAAGAACGCAGCGAAAUGCGAUAAGUAGUGUGAAUUGCAGAAUUCAGUGAAUCAUCGAAUCUUUGAACGCACAUUGCGCCCUCUGGUAUUCCGGGGGGCAUGCCUGUUCGAGCGUCAUUAUAACCACUCAAGCUCUCGCUUGGUAUUGGGGUUCGCGGUUUCGCGGCCCCUAAAAUCAGUGGCGGUGCCUGUCGGCUCUACGCGUAGUAAUACUCCUCGCGAUUGAGUCCGGUAGGUCUACUUGCCAGCAACCCCUAAUUUUUUUAAGGUUGACCUCGGAUCAGGUAGGGAUACCCGCUGAACUUAAGCAUAUCAAUAAGCGGAGGA
rnacentral:misc_RNA from 1 species